GAUGAACGCUGGCGGCGUGCCUAAUACAUGCAAGUCGAGCGAACAGACGAGGAGCUUGCUCCUCUGACGUUAGCGGCGGACGGGUGAGUAACACGUGGAUAACCUACCUAUAAGACUGGGAUAACUUCGGGAAACCGGAGCUAAUACCGGAUAAUAUAUUGAACCGCAUGGUUCAAUAGUGAAAGACGGUUUUUGCUGUCACUUAUAGAUGGAUCCGCGCCGCAUUAGCUAGUUGGUAAGGUAACGGCUUACCAAGGCAACGAUGCGUAGCCGACCUGAGAGGGUGAUCGGCCACACUGGAACUGAGACACGGUCCAGACUCCUACGGGAGGCAGCAGUAGGGAAUCUUCCGCAAUGGGCGAAAGCUUGACGGAGCAACGCCGCGUGAGUGAUGAAGGUCUUCGGAUCGUAAAACUCUGUUAUUAGGGAAGAACAAAUGUGUAAGUAACUAUGCACGUCUUGACGGUACCUAAUCAGAAAGCCACGGCUAACUACGUGCCAGCAGCCGCGGUAAUACGUAGGUGGCAAGCGU
rnacentral:rRNA from 1 species